CACUUCAACCAGAUUAGAUGCUGGAACCAUCUAACCCCAAGAGAUUGAGCUUCAUUUCUCACCAGUGCUGCGGCUUUCCUCUCUGGUCACCCUGAGGACAGUCCUAGCAGAGAGCAAACAUAAGAGAAUGAGAAGAAAGAAAGAAAGAAAGAAAAAGAAAGAAAGAGAAAGAAAGAAAGAAAGAAAAUCUGGAUUUGAGACCCAGCUCCCCGCUUAUGACUGAGCCACCUACACAAGAAUAUGGUGCAACCUCUUUUCUCCACUAGCUAUUGGUAUACCUUGGAGAUCUUUCCUUAUUAGGAGAUAAGAAGAAGAGCUUCUUUAUUCUUUUCCAUUGUUCCAUUUAUAUAAAGCAUUCCAUUAUGCAGAGAACUUAUGUAUU